CCAGCACCUUAGCUACCCUAUGACAUACAGAAGAUUCCCCUUCUAUAGGGACCUGCCACCUGGAAAGUUAGUGGACCAGUCAGGGACCCACCCAGCUUUUCCAUACUCUGGUACCACAAAUCCAAAAGAUUUACUGAGGAUCAUGGUCUGAGAGUUGCCAUGAGAAAGCAAAGAAGAUUUUGCCAGACUCUGGAAAAGAACUCUAGAGACACUGAGCUCUGGAAUCUUUUGGGAAAAGUGACAGCCAGUGUCUCAGUAAGGGGGUCCUUCUUUCUGCCCAGGAAUCUAAGCCACCCUAAAACUUACGAUCUUAGAUAAUUAGUAAGUAACAAAACACAAAUACUCAGAAAUAUAGUUGCAGAAUGUGAAGCCCCUGAUAGAUAUAGUCCACAUGGGUUCUGGAACUAGACAAAGGGAAAAUGGCUCUGGUGAUUUAUUUAAGAGGGUCCAUCAAAGCAGGGAUAAGGUUUCAAGGGCAGAGUCUUGCUCCAUGAUUUCUUGCAGUCAGCAGGUUGAUUGACAUCUUGGCAGGUCCCACCCAUCUCAGGUGCUGUGAGGGCCACUGCAGAGUGGGAAAGAUAUUCACAUUGUCCCUGGGCAAUUGACCAGAGGAAAUGUCCACUGGCCAUUCCCGGACACCAGAUUCUCUAUCCACUAGGCUUCCAGGUGCAGUGACCCAGGUGCAACCCAUGGUGGCUUGUGACAGUCAUCCCUUGCACAGGCUGAACCAUGAAAUCCUUGGGGGGCGGGGGGAGAGUCUAG
rnacentral:lncRNA from 1 species